AGAGUGAACGCUGGCGGUAGGCCUAACACAUGCAAGUCGAACGGCAGCACGGUAAGAGCUUGCUCUUAUGGGUGGCGAGUGGCGGACGGGUGAGGAAUACAUCGGAAUCUACCUUUUGGUGGGGGAUAACGUAGGGAAACUUACGCUAAUACCGCAUACGCCCUUCGGGGGAAAGCCGGGGACCAGCAAUGGCCUGGCGCUGAUAGAUGAGCCGAUGUCGGAUUAGCUAGUUGGUGAGGUAAUGGCUCACCAAGGCGACGACUCCGUAGCUGGUCUGAGAGGAUGAUCAGCCACAC
rnacentral:rRNA from 1 species